rnacentral:lncRNA from 1 species
CUGACAAGGAAGUUUUGCAACCGAAUUUACAGCUGGAGUCAAGCUUGUCAGUGAGGGCCAGAGGGGAACUGUCGCAAUCCACUGGUUAAGUAUGCAUUUAAUAGUGUUUAUCCAAGCAAGUUUGUGAUUUCUUCACUCUCUCCAACAAAUAUGUUAUUUGUAAUACCUAUCUUCUCUAAUCUAGGUGUUUGAAAAAUGUCUCUAACGUGUGUGGGCUAGAAGACAUUUUGUUUUUCUGUGGGUUUAUUCAUUUAACAAGGGCAGUGUUUGAGGAACUAUCAAAAACUGCUUGUCAUCUUUCCAGAUCACCUCUCUCUGCAGUGACCAUGACUUAAUCCAGAAGGAAAACAAGCCCAGCUCUUCACUCUUGUCCUCUUAUCGAUCUGCCAUCCUACUGGCUUAAACCUAGAUGAUUCUUAUAAGGGGGCCACUCUGCUGAAUAUAGCCGGCUGUUAUUGAUGGUUACUACUUUGGAGCUACAGUUCUACCAGAUCAUCCAUCCCAGAAACCAAAUCAAUAAGACAUGGAAUCUUCAUCAGUCAAGAGCCAAGUACUUUGAAGUAUUCAUACAUACCAGCUGGGAGAAACAUACCACUGCUACACUUAAACCUAAACACGUGGACUGCAUGAUAUUACUGGCAAAUUGGAUAUAUUAAGGUUCACAAUUUCUCGGAGCUAACUGUGUGUAUUUAGGCAAUUUUUA